AUGCGCCGGGAGCUGGGCGCGCACGGGCUGGAGCGCCGGGCGAGGCCCCCGGAAUCGGCCCAGGCGGCGGCAGGAGCAGAGGAGCCCAGGUGGGGCGCGGCGCUCUCCCCGCGCAGGCUGGAUAGACUCUGUGAAGACGUGAUCCCACCUACUGCAUCUAUCAAUGCUCUCCAGUUUCAGGAUGUUAUUCUGUUGCUGUUGUAUGGCAGUGACAUCAAGAUUGUGGUAACUGUGACUUAUGAUAAGAAAUACACUGUAUUUGGUCUUGUCCCUGUUUUCUGGCAUACAGCUCCUAUCUGCCUUGGAAUCUCCAAAAUGUGCCUGGUUCUGGAUCCUGGUAGCACCUUCAUCUGUGCUUGUGGCCAAGAAUGGGCAUUGCUGCUACAGUCAUGGCCCUGCCCUGCACACAUGGAUCUACCUUCUCUUCUUUGUGGCCUACCUUCCUGGCUCGGGGAGGCCGCUUCGGCUUGGAUUCCAGGUGGAAAAUGGAUGCUCCCCUUGAAGACUGCUUUUCUGUGUAGCAGAGAGCACAUUAUUUAUACUAACAGUAAAUCCAUGGAUUCUGUCUUCUAAUAACAGUUUACAGAUAAACUAAGGGACAGAGAAUUCAAACCACUUGGCCAAAGCUAUACAGUGAGUAAAUGAUACUAUCUUGUUUCAGAUAUGGAUUUGUAAUGGAGGAAACCAAAAUAUUUCACCUCCAAAUAUCCUUCUUUGACAUAUUUUGAGGUGGCUGUUCAGAGGGCCUGCAAACAGAGGUAGCCGUGCAAAGCUGUCCUUUGCAGGGAGAUUUGCGUCUGUACAGAAUCAGCAUGGUGCAGCCAGAUUUUCUUUGAGGCUCACCCUUGUCCAGAUCAAGAAAAGAUUAACAGAGUCUGACACCUUUCUGAAAUAAACAUUUACCAUCUAUUCUCUCUGAGGACUGCUACCUGUAAGCUUUCACCUGUAUAAUAAGACCACAUUUGCAAGCCAGACCUCCUCUUCUCUUCCUCCCAUAACCUGCCUUGACAUCAUAACUUGAUUUACUGCCACAACAAGUUUUUGGGUGGACUCCAAGCCCACAUUUUUUCUGUAACCUUAAGCUGUGUAUAGGCUGGAUGUGGUGACUCCUGCCUGUAAUCCCAGCACUUUGGGAGGCCAAGGCAGGAGGAUCACUUGAGGCCAGAAGUUCAAGUUCAAGGCAACAUAGUGAGACCCGCAUCUCUACAAAAAAUGAAAAGAAUUAGUCAGGCAUGGAGGCACAGACCUAUAGUUCCAGCUACUCAGGAGGCUGAGGUGGGAUUGCUUGAAGGACUGCCUGAGCCCAGGAGUUUGAGGCUACGGUAAACCAUGAUCCUGCCGUUAUACUACAGCCUGGGCAAGAGAGUGAGACCCUGUAUCAAAGAAGGCUUAAAAAAAGAUAGUGUAAAUGUGUCAACCACCUUACCAUUUCUUGGAGAUCUUGGUAAGAUUCCUAUGCACAUUAAUACAUAUGUGUGCCUUUUCUGCAAUUAGUCUGUCUCUUGUCAGUUGAUUUUCGGUGACCCUUCCAAGGACAAAGAGGAAGUUUCCCCUUUGUGGGUUCCUGUGGCACCCAUAGGAAUGACUGUCCCUCGCUACCUUCUGCUUCACAGUUUCAAAUGACUGGCCACUCGCCAAAAGGCAGAAGAGGUUCAUGAGUUCCUCUUUUCCUCAUUUGCACUUGACCUCUUUUUCGUAACACACAUCCAGCCAUGUCUUCUACAUAUUUUUCCCCCAGUAAAACAUCUGUGCCUCAUAGUUGUAAAAAAAUCAAAUCAAGUAGUAAAAAUGUUUUAAAAAUACAUCUCAGGGCUGGUUCCCUUAGAGGCUGCUGCUGUGCAACACUGAAGGACGUGCAUGAAGGUGUGAGAGAGCAAUGUGGCAUCUGUCCCAUGGUCUGCAUGGUUUAUACGCUUGGUUUGCCAGAAAGCGUCUCAGGUCAGCACAGAUGCAGAAUUUCUGGUUCAGUGCAGUUGGCUGAGCACUUGUGCUUAACGUCCCACCCACAAGAGACCCCACUGAAAAUGAUUUCGAAAGAGGGAACAAAAUGUCACUGCAGACACCACUGGAAGUGAGGUAGCAGGUGGGAUUUCACUUUGGGCCAGACUGAAGACUGGUUGAAACAGGGAAGAGGCAUGCUCACCAGCACCGUGAUGGUUUACCAUUGCUGUGCCGAUACCUGGAAGUUACCACUUCUGUUCUAGAAAUUUCUGAGUAACCCACCCCUUAACUUGCAUGUAAUUAAAAGUAUGUAUAAAUAUAACUGGAGAACAGCCUCUGAGCUGCUACGCAAACACACUGCCUUUGAGGUAUCCUGGCUCUGCAGGGGUAGUCACAGAGCUGUAACACUGUUGCCUCAAUAAAGCCAUGUUUUUUCCUACCACCAGCUGAUUCUUGAAUCCUUUCCUGAGUGAAGCCAAGAACUUUCCCAGGCUAAGCCCCAGUUUUGGGGCUGGCUUGCCCUGCAUCAAAUGGCAUUCCUAGCUGCUCUCCCAGAAGGUCUAUGCCCUCCCUGGAGCCUCCUCAGUGCCCCCGUUCUGAGGAGGGUCCUGCCGGUUUUCUAACAAAGGAUUCCAUCCCAAGGUCAUCAGGCACCUCUCCCCCUUAUCCAGCUAGCUCCAGCCUAUACCUCUUACUGCUCAAAAGAGUAGGUCCAACCAAUACCUCCAGAAGUGGACCCCAUAUCAGCUCCUAAAAGUCAAACCUGUGUCCAUUGCAGGAAGUAGCUGAUGAAAAUUGGGGAGCACUUAGAGUACAUGUGCUAUUUUCUGUCUGAUUUGGCUUUAUUUAACAAAGAAAAUGUGGCCAGUUUUCAGAGAAUCCAGAAAAGUUUAUAGAGGAGUUUUUUAAGUUGACCAUGUUCUUCAACUUAACUUGUCAUGACUUGCAAGUAUUAUCAUCUACUUGCUGUGCUGUGGAAGAAAUGCAGUGUGAAAAGGGUGUGGUUUAGCCAAUCAAUUAUGACAAGAUUAGAGAAAUAACUCAGAGAAAUUAUGGAAGUCCCACUCUGUUUCAGGGUCGUUUGGUUGAGGCACUCAAGAAAUAUACUCACACAGAUCCAGACUCCCCAGAAAGGCAGACUAUCCUGGGUAUGCAUUUUAUUACUCGGUCUUCCCCUGACAUCAGGAAAAUGCUACAAAAAGCAGCAGCAAGGGGUCUCACACCCCCAUAAUCCAACUCUUAAACAUGACUUUUGGGGUUUACAACAACAGUGACAGAGGAGAAGAAGAGGCAAAACCAUAAGAAAUAGCCAAAAAGUGCAAUUAUUAGCAUACGCUUUAAGCCCCCUUCCUCCUCAGGGUUACCCAUCCCAAGAAAGUGUCACAAGAUCAGUGUCUGGAAUGCCCAGAUGAGAGCCCCCAACUGAUUGGCCCCUGGGCCAGAAUCAAUGUG
rnacentral:lncRNA from 1 species